rnacentral:rRNA from 1 species
UGGGGAAUAUUGGGCAAUGGGCGAAAGCCUGACCCAGCAACGCCGCGUGAGGAAAGAAGGCCUUCGGGUUGUAAACCUCUGUCCUUGGUGACGAAAAAAAUGACGGUAGCCAAGGAGGAAGCCCCGGCUAACUACGUGCCAGCAGCCGCGGUAAUACGUAGGGGGCGAGCGUUGUCCGGAAUUACUGGGCGUAAAGGGUGCGUAGGUGGCCUUUUAAGUUGGAUGUGAAAUCCCCGGGCUUAACUUGGGUGGUGCAUCUAAUACUGGAGGGCUAGAGUGCAGGAGAGGGAAGCGGAAUUCCUAGUGUAGCGGUGAAAUGCGUAGAUAUUAGGAGGAACACCAGUGGCGAAGGCGGCUUUCUGGACUGUAACUGACACUGAGGCACGAAAGCGUGGGGAGCAACCAG